ensembl:lncRNA
GGGCAGCAUGGGAGGCGGCCCCGGGCGCCAACUUUCAAAAGCGGGCGCGAUGGCGUCACGGGACGCGCUGCGAGUCGCGUCACGCCGCACGCGCCCUCAACUGGUCGCGCGUGGGCUCUUAGGGAGCCCGACGUCCGGGCUCCCGCUGGGUGGGGCUUCGUGGGCGGAGGCAGUCCCUUCUGGGCGGCCCAGGAUUCCGGCCCAGUUGACCUGCUCAGCUGCAGUCUCCCGCCCUGAAUCCGAAAGGGCGGACGUGGGGCGGGGGGGAGGGUGUUUGGAGGAAGCGCGCGCGGGACUAGGCCGUGGGGCUGAGGCGGUUCUUGGGCGGAGCCCCGCCCUAGUCUCCGCCCUAGCCGGGCCGGACCCGCCCUCCGAGCGCCGCACGGCAGCCCGCCACGGGUAAGGCCGGGCGGGUCCCCUCUCACUCCCAAGUCCUCAGAAACAAUCCUUCCCCCGCGAGCCAAGACAGGCAGGGCUGUCCUGGGGAUCCCUCUGCUCCUAAUACUGGGUGUUAGAGAAGAAGGCUUUUUCCUGGUGUGCCCAGGCCACUUCGGCCGGGAGAGGCCAGCGGAAGGCCAGACUUAAUGCUUUUACACGAACGAUCGUACCGGUCUUUUGCCAAAAGGAUGUUCUCUAUUUGGCGCAGUGUGAUUGUGUAUUUCAAAAUGAUCUUACAGGAUCAAACCCAGACCCACAGGAGUGAAAGCACUGAGUCUUAACCACUGGACCGCCACGAAAUUCCCUUGUUUGACUUAAAUCAGGGUGAAAUUCAUGAAAGAAUAUAAGGAAACUGGGAGGUUUGACCCUGGAUAGGAACAGGAUGCUUCCACUGUGGAAGUUAGAGUAACGGGUGAAGAUGGAUGCAGAUGCAGGGGAGAGGAAAUGGUGAUGUGUCCUACUCUGUGCAUGAAGUUGGCUCUAAAGAUCAAGGGACAGAAAGCCAGUCCAAAAGGAUAGUCUGUUUCAGGCCGGACAGAAACAGGCUGAAAAGAGUAAUAUGGUGAGAGCCUGCGGAACAGUUGGGAUGAUAAAAAUAAGGACAAGUUUGUUGCCUGUAGUACUAUCCCAGACUACGUCACCCAGAGAGAACUGUGAUGAUUUAAAACCGCCCAGUGAUUUAAGAUGGAGAAGGCAAUGGCACCCCACUCCAGUACUCUUGCCUGGAAAAUCCCAUGGACGGAGGAGCCUGGUGGGCUACAGUCCGUGGGGUCGCUAAGAGUGGGACACAACUGAGCAACUUCACUUUCACUUUUCACUUUGAUGCAUUGGAGAAGGAAAUGACAACCCACUCCAGUGUUCUUGCCUGGAGAAUCCCAGGGACAGGGGAGCCUGGUGGGCUGCCGUCUAUGGGGUCGCACGGAGUUGGACACGACUCACGCGACUUAGCAGCAGCAGCAGCAGCAGUAAUUUAAGAAAGUGUUCUUCCCAUGGACUGUCUCAGGUUUGUAGUCCACAGGAGUUCGAGGCAUUAUCAGCAGAAGGCUGUCAGCUUAUCUCGUGGCAGUAGUGCAAUCACCAGGUUCUAAGACCUGGCCCUCAGCCUCCAGAGUGGAUUCCUUCCUUAGAGACUCAUCAGGUUUACAGGAGCUUGAUGCAUAAGCCAAGUGACAUUUUACUAACUGAGAGGUGGACUGGUGCUCACAUGCCGGCAAAAGGUAUGUUCUCUCCCUGUAGGAGAGCCUCCUGGGAAGCCAUAUUACCAGGAAGCUUUGGUAAGCAGUUAAUUUAUAUAAUGUAAAUGUUUAAUAUGCUGGAGUCAUAUUGUCUGGCAUUUGAAUCUUGUCUUGGUUUCUUAUUAGCUGUGUGAUCUUGGGUGAAUUAGUAACAACUCAACUGCAGGUUUCUUCUCUAUAACACUUCUUCACAAAGUGGUAAGGACUGAAUGAGACAAUCCAAAUAAAACUUUAGGCAUAGUUCGAGGCACUGAUAAUCAUACAAUAAAUGUAAACUAUGAUUUUUUUUAAUUUUUAUGCUUAUUAACCUACCCUCACUCCCAAAUCUGCCUUCUGAUGGCCAUGGUCUUUAAUUAAUUAAUAGAAUUAAUUAAUUGAAUUACUUACUGUCUAGGCUUUCCUUGGCCUGGAAGCCAUUCUUUCUGAGGAAAGUGUAUUUGUCUAUUAUUCUUAGAAGAACAAUUCUAUUUCCAAAUCUUCCUUAGCUCCCACUGUUGCCCCCAGGUAAAGCUUGUGAUAAUCGUGAUCAUUUAUAUGUUUUUUGGGAACUCAUUAAGCAAGAGCCUCAAUGAACUGUGGAGAGAUGUGCUGAUUUUCUGAGGAACAAUGGACAAGACUUCCUGCCCACUUUGCAGGGUGAGACGUAAAGCUACACCUGAGCACUCCAUUGCGCUGUGUCUACUGAGGAUGUGUGUGAGGUAUAAUCCAGUGCAGCAAAGGUUUACAGAAUACUGCUGUCUUCAGCUCCCUUUCUAGGCACUGGGGAUACAAAGAUGACCCAAGAUGUGUUUCCCGCUCUUAAAGUUUAAAAAACAAAACCAAGACACAUUAAUGCAUAACUGUGAUAAUGGGAAGAAAUGGACUCAUAAAGGAGCAAAUCAUUUCCCAGGGGUAUCUCAUUUCAGCUUGGUGUUAAUAGGAUCUGAAGGGCUUCCCCGGUGGCUCAGUGGUAAAGAAUCCACCUUUCCAAUGCAGGAGACGUGGGUUUGAUCCCUGGGUCGGGAAGAUCCCCUGGAGGAGGAAAUGGUAACCUACUCCAGUAUUCUUGCCUGGAGAAUCCCAUGGACAGAGGAGUCUGGCAGGCUACAGUCCAUGGGGUCGCAGAGUCAGACGUGACUGAGCACACAGGCACACAAAAGCUCAGAAGGCAUUAACAAGGCAAGGCACGUAAGGUGAAGAGCCAUAAUCAAAGGCAUAAAAGGGUACAAGAGUGUUAGGGGGACGGUAAGUCUUCCCAUUCUUUUGGAUGAGGGUGUAGUGAGUGAUGCUAAAUCUUCUAAGAUAUUUGGAAAGUUUUCAAUCUCGACUGCCAAGGCCAACCACUUUUUCCUAAAUUUUAAAGACCUGCCCUUCUAUAUCAUCUCCUACCCAGACCACAGGAAUUUGUUUCCUUAUUGAUAUCUGCUUUCUUCAGAUCCCUAUGAAAAGUCUAUUUUACCUCCCAGCUCAAACUACUGCUCUCUACAGUCUAAAGGAUUUUGCCUGGGCCUACAUCUCACGUUUGAGCAGUAGGUUACUUUUGUUCUCUGUGCUCUUACCUGCAUUUUUCAGAUAUGCAUUGAUCACCCUUAAAUAAUCCACCUCAUCUGUUCACUUUUCAUUUUAAAAAACACCUUCAUGCCUGCCCUCUUAAUUGAUGUUCACAGUUCUUUUUGAAGAGCCAGCCACAGUUUUGUCCUUAACUCUAGAAGUGAAGUGACUUGCUCAGAGUCAUCCAGUAACUUGUUGACAAAACCAGAAUGAGUACUCAGAUCUUCCAGCCCCACCCUCUCUCUUCCUGUUCUUUCACUGGCCACUCUGCGCUCCUCACUCUGUUAGGUAAUAUUUCCAUUUUUAUAGGGAUCCUCUGUACUUGAUGCUUUAGCUCAGGGACUGCUUGGGAGGGGGAAAAGGAAGGGAGGUCUAUCAAGUGAGCUCUGGACCUCUCUGCUCCCUCAUUUUCUCCCCUCUGAAUUUUAUGUGAUUUGUUUAGAGGUAAAAAGGUUUCAUCCCCUCCAUGCAAGUCGGACAGUGCCUUAACCCAAAGGGAGGGCUUUAAUGGUGGAAAUUUCAGGCUCUUACUAAAUAGAAGAGCUAUUUGGAAUCACGAUUUACUAAUCUGUAAGUAAACCUUGAAUAGGGCUUCCCAGGUGGCUCAGGAGCCCUGUUAAUUAAUUAAAGACCAUGGUCAUCAGACUCAGGAGCCUGGCAGUCCAUGGGGUCACAACGAGUCAGAAACGAUGAAACAACUGAGCAUGCGUGCAUGCAAGUCCUGAAUCAACUGCUCUAUGCCCAGGUCUAUGUUCAAGGUGCUACUGGAGAGAGAUGAUGCCCCUAGCCUUCAAAGGCCUCAUGUUUUGUCUUGUAUUAAUCUGGAGACACUAAACCCUCAUGAGUAUUAGUAGGUAAAAGUCAAGGAUGGAGAAGCAAGUAAAAGGAGGGUAUGGGUAGCAGGUGUGGGAGGAACAGAUGGGUCACCGGAUAUCACUGUGGUCAUACAAGACUUCACAAUGAAGCAAGGAUGACUCUCAAACUUCUCCCUCUAGCCUACAUACUUCUCUUCUUGCCCAGAUCUACAUGUCUAGCUUCUUUCUGGACACUUCUCCUGGAUGGCUCCCAGGCUACCCUUAGGAGCCUUGCCACUCUCCUCCUCAUUUGCUUCGCUAGGGCUCCCCCUUUACAGUGAAAGAUACCCCCAAUCCAUCCACCACAGCGGCCAGAAACCUAAGCUUCAUUCUUUCAUCUCCCACAUCCCAUCAGUCUCCAAAUCCCGUCCGUUCUACCUUCUGAACCUUUCACUCUAACCUCCUCUCUAUCCCUACCUGGCUUAGCAUCAGGCUUUUUCUGACCACAGCAUCAGGCUCCUCACUGCUCCCUGCCUCCUCUCUCAACACAAAGCGACCUUUCCAAACCACAGAUGGGAUCACAGAAUUCCCCCGCUUCAAGUCCAUGCAUGAGUCCCCAGUGUUCUAGGAGUAAAUCCCAACUCCUCAGCCACUCCACAAGCCCCUUUCUAACUGCCCCCUCUGGAUUCAAUUUGCCUCCUCUACUCAUCUGACCUCAGUUCUCUCUGCUCAGGCUUCCAUUCCAUUCCUUAUUUGAGAACCCCAUGGUAAAAGUGCAUUCUAAGGAGCUACGUUUCAUAGGGGACUCUGAGGGGUUUUUUUAAUCCAGACUUUUUCUGCACUAAACGUAUACUGUUCUUUCAUAUUCACAAUGUUUUCAGAUUGUGUUAAGUUUUAGAGAUAUGCAUCAAAAGCUAUUUCUUGACCACUUACUAUAUAUUUGGCCUUAGUUGGUGGGAACGGUAAAGGCAGAUGCAGCCUGCUUAAACAGAGAAUUGCCUGGAGCACGUAUUUAAAAUAAAGAUUCCUUGGUCUCUGAAUUUGAAUCUCGAGGGAAGUUCUCAAGUGAAUCUUAGAACUGACUCUGAAUACAUGAGGAAGGAGAGCAGAGACUGGAGGAAAGGUAAGGUUGGAAGAGGGCAAAAGGAAAGGAGGUGAGGUGGGGGGAUCCAGUCCCCCCUACCCAAUAAACUGUAUGCUGGACUACCUC